rnacentral:tRNA from 1 species
GACCUUUAGCUCAGUUGGUUAGAGCAGACGGCUCAUAACCGUCCGGUCGCAGGUUCGAGUCCUGCAAGGUCCA